rnacentral:rRNA from 1 species
GACAGAGGUGCCAAGCGUUAGGCGGAAUCACUGGGCUUAAAGCGUGUGUAGGCGGAUUUGUAAGUACCUUGUGAAAUCCCACGGCUCAACCGUGGAACUGCUCGGUAUACUGCGAGUCUUGAGCCACUUAGGGGCUACCGGAACAAAUGGUGGAGCGGUGAAAAUGCGUAGAUAUCGGAAGGAACGCCGGUGGCGAAAGCGACGUGCUGGACCUCUUC